rnacentral:rRNA from 1 species
ACGAAGGGGGCUAGCGUUGUUCGGAAUUACUGGGCGUAAAGCGUGCGCAGGCGGUUCGUUGUGUCCGAUGUGAAAGCCCCGGGCUUAACCUGGGAAUGGCAUUGGAAACUGGCGAGCUUGAGUGCGGCAGAGGGGGGUGGAAUUCCGCGUGUAGCAGAGAAAUGCGUAGAGAUGCGGAGGAACACCGAUGGCGAAGGCAGCCCCCUGGGUCGACACUGACGCUCAGGCACGAAAGCGUGGGGAGCAAACAGGA